GAGAUGAUGGAGCAGAGCCGCGCGACUCUAAACACUUCUCCUGACAGACGCUUCUUCUACAGAAAGAUCUGCGGUUAAUCCUGAGGAGAUUUCGGCGGACACAGUUCUCAAGAGGAGUACUUCAGCUGCUAAAAGGAGUCGGACCGCGCUGGUGUCGCAAUAGCGUCUGUCUGCGGACUGCAAGAGAGGGGCGUAACUUGAAGUUGUCCAAAUCACACAGAACUACGCGAGAUGUCAAAACGAGAUGUUGUUGGCAAGAUGGCCGCUUGUAUAGAGACAAGGGACAGAAGAGUCACGUGUGUUUAUCCGCUGAAAAGUGACUGAUGAAGCAAUGCUGCCAUCAAAGCCUCUCAUUGAGUACACUACUGACAUCAAUAAAACAGCUUUUAAAUCUUAAGUUGUAGUUUAUUUUAAUUAUUGUAAUUUCAAACAGAGCUAUUACAGCACUUUUCUGAUUCUUGAUUCUUGUGCAUUUGCUGCAGAUCUUCUGUGGUGGAGCAGGACCUGCAAGGCAAGGUGACAGCGGCAUUUGUGGAAAAAAAAGGGUAAACCUCAAACAAAAGGAUAAAGUAGUCGUGCUCAUGGAGAGCAGACACAGCGGCAGCCAGAUUGUCCUGCACAUGUUCUCCUGCUCUUGUCUCAAGGUUGUGUGGUUCAGGGGUGUCAUCAUGGUCUUCCUCAUCCUCUGGCUCAACAAUGUCCUCAUUGAGAAGAGCAAGAUUGUGAAGCACAGCGCAGCUGCAGAAUUGACACAUCUGUGUUGAGGUGGCAGUAGGAUGUGGGGUUCACCAUCUGUAAAUACAUGAUUGUUAGAACAAUACGUUUGAUCGAAGCUUUGUUUCAUCUGUUGUUGACUUGUGUAUAUAUAUAUGUAUUUAUU